rnacentral:tRNA from 1 species
GAGGAUUUAGCUCAGUGGCGUAAGCGCUUGCCUUGCAAGCAAGAGGUCGUGAGUUCAAUCCCCA